GCGGGUGUGGCGGAAUUGGCAGACGCACUAGAUUUAGGUUCUAGCGCCUUCGGGCGUGGGGGUUCAACUCCCUCCACCCGCACCA
rnacentral:tRNA from 9 species